rnacentral:rRNA from 1 species
AUUGAACGCUGGCGGCAGGCCUAACACAUGCAAGUCGAGCGGAUGAAGGGAGCUUGCUCCUGGAUUCAGCGGCGGACGGGUGAGUAAUGCCUAGGAAUCUGCCUGGUAGUGGGGGAUAACGUCCGGAAACGGGCGCUAAUACCGCAUACGUCCUGAGGGAGAUAGUGGGGGAUCUUCGGACCUCACGCUAUCAGAUGAGCCUAGGUCGGAUUAGCUAGUUGGUGGGGUAAAGGCCUACCAAGGCGACGAUCCGUAACUGGUCUGAGAGGAUGAUCAAUCACACUGGAACUGAGACACGGUCCAGACUCCUACGGGAGGCAGCAGUGGGGAAUAUUGGACAAUGGGCGAAAGCCUGAUCCAGCCAUGCCGCGUGUGUGAAGAAGGUCUUCGGAUUGUAAAGCACUUUAAGUUGGGAGGAAGGGCAGUAAGUUAAUACCUUGCUGUUUUGACGUUACCAACAGAAUAAGCACCGGCUAACUUCGUG